AUGAGGUCACACGCUCUGCUCCUCUGUGUGCUAGUUUUCUUUAUGAAGGAUGCCAGUGGGCAGAUUGUGCUGACUCAGACUCCAGAAUCUCUGUUGGUGUCUGCAGGAGACAGAGUCACCAUCAACUGCAAAGCCAGUACAAGCAUCAGCAGCAAUAUAGCCUGGUACCAACAGAAAUCAGGACAAGCUCCUAAGCUCCUGUUCUAUGGUACUUCCUCCCGUCCCUCUGGGGUCCCAGAUCGGUUCAGUGGCAGUGGGUCUGGCACUGAUUUCACAUUCACAAUCAGCCGGGUUGAAGCAGAUGAUGCUGGAGAUUAUUACUGUCAGCAGUAUUACAGCACCCCUCUCACACAGUGA